GAAAAUAUGUCGGUUACAGGUGCUGAGGCUUAAUAGGGAAUCCUGUGGAAUACAGGAGCGGUCCCGCCGCUGUGACCCCACCCUCUAAAAAGGGAACUCUUUGGCUCUAUAAAGCCACUGUCCUGAAUUUAUGGAUGGGAAGGUAGCCAAAGGGCGGGGAAGCCAGAAGACCUGCCUGUAGUCGUGAUCGGUA
rnacentral:ncRNA from 2 species